AGAUUCUUCUGUGUUUGCUAAUGUGAAAGAAAAAGUACAACAUGGGAACUAAAUAAAAAAUUGACACCAGUGCACAAGAUUUUAGCUAAUACAAAGCUUCCACACUAUGGAUGAAAUAUUUUUAAACCAAGGUUACUGAAGAACUACUGUGCAAUAAAUUAUUGUACGUAGAGCAAUGGUCAGCCUAGUUCCAUGGCUGAUGAUUUUCAGAUUCGGCCACCGCAUGUAUUUGGAAACUAUGAGAAGAGGAAAAAUUUACUACUCUUUCCAUUCGUAAUUUAUAAUAUAAUUUGUACAUAGUGUUACUUUUGUAAAAUUAGCCAGACAAAUGUGAUUUGUUAUCUAUAAUAAAAAUAUAAAACUA